AGAGUUUGAUUCUGGCUCGGGAUGAACGCUAGCGACAGGCUUAACACAUGCAAGUCGAGGGGCAGCGGGAGGAAAGCUUGCUUUUCUUGCCGGCGACCGGCGCACGGGUGAGUAACACGUAUGCAACCUGCCCAUGACAGGGGGAUAAGCGGGAGAAAUUCCGUCUAAUACCGCAUAACACCCCCGGGAGACAUCUCUCGGGAGUCAAAGGAGCGAUCCGGUCAUGGAUGGGCAUGCGGCGCAUUAGUUAGUUGGCGGGGUAACGGCCCACCAAGGCGACGAUGCGUAGGGGUUCUGAGAGGAAGGUCCCCCACACUGGUACUGAGACACGGACCAGACUCCUACGGGAGGCAGCAGUGAGGAAUAUUGGUCAAUGGGCGAGAGCCUGAACCAGCCAAGUCGCGUGAGGGAAGACGGUCCUACGGAUUGUAAACCUCUUUUGUCGGGGAGCAAUAAGGCGUACGUGUACGCAGAUGCGAGUACCCGAAGAAAAAGCAUCGGCUAACUCCGUGCCAGCAGCCGCGGUAAUACGGAGGAUGCGAGCGUUAUCCGGAUUUAUUGGGUUUAAAGGGUGCGCAGGCGGAAAGUGCAAGUCAGCGGUCAAACGACGGGGCUCAACCCCGUCUCGCCGU
rnacentral:rRNA from 1 species